AGCGUAAUUCAAGAUCAAUGAUCUCAAUGUUUUUAACAUUUUUAAUGUUAAAAACAUUGAGAUCACUGAUCUUGAAUUAUGCUUAAUUGAU